rnacentral:rRNA from 1 species
AUUGAACGCUGGCGGCAGGCUUAACACAUGCAAGUCGAGCGGGGGAAGGUAGCUUGCUACUGAACCUAGCGGCGGACGGGUGAGUAAUGCUUAGGAAUCUGCCUAUUAGUGGGGGACAACAUCUCGAAAGGGAUGCUAAUACCGCAUACGUCCUACGGGAGAAAGCAGGGGAUCUUCGGACCUUGCGCUAAUAGAUGAGCCUAAGUCGGAUUAGCUAGUUGGUGGGGUAAAGGCCUACCAAGGCGACGAUCUGUAGCGGGUCUGAGAGGAUGAGCCGCCACACUGGGACUGAGACACGGCCCAGACUCCUACGGGAGGCAGCAGUGGGGAAUAUUGGACAAUGGGGGUAACCCUGAUCCAGCCAUGCCGCGUGUGUGAAGAAGGCCUUAUGGUUGUAAAGCACUUUAAGCGAGGAGGAGGCUACUUUAGUUAAUACCUAGAGAUAGUGGACGUUACUCGCAGAAUAAGCACCGGCUAACUCUGUGCCAGCCGCCGCCGUAA